UUUCGCAAUGCCCGAAAGGGUGACGAAGCGACGCCGCGUGUGGGAAGAAGGCCUUCGGGUUGUAAACCACUGUCGGGAGUUAGGAAAUGCGGGUGCGUUAAUAGCGCACUUGCUUGACUAAGGCUCCAGAGGAAGCCCCGGCUAACUCUGUGCCAGCAGCCGCGGUAAUACAGAGGCGGCAAGCGUUGUUCGGAAUUAUUGGGCGUAAAGAGCACGUAGGCGGCCUUGCAAGUCAGUUGUGAAAGCCUUCCGCUUAACGGAAGAACGGCAUCUGAUACUACAGGGCUUGAGUACGGGAGGGGAGAGUGGAACUUCUGGUGGAGCGGUGAAAUGCGUAGAUAUCAGAAGGAACGCCGGCGGCGAAAGCGACUCUCUGGUCCGAAACUGACGCUGAGUGUGCGAAAGCUAGGGGAGCAAACGGGAUUAGAUACCCCGGUAGUCCUAGCCGUAAACGAUGGGCACUAAGUAGAGGGGUUUU
rnacentral:rRNA from 1 species